CCCAAAAUCGGAACCCUCACUCUCGACAGCUCCUCACUCUGUCGACAAAACCUAAAGCUAAAACCUCACUCUCCCAAACCCUCGCUCUUAGCUCGCGGCUCACUCGCCCAUUACUCUCUGCUGAAUUCAAAAUCCCCAAUUUUCUAGGGUUUCAGUUUUCAAUCUCAAGAGGAUAUUGUUGAAGCGGAAGGCAUCAUGGAAGAGGAUGUUCUCCAUCCCCAUCUUCGAUACUGGCCCCUCAAGGCCAUCACCAUAAUCCAAGCGGUCAUCAUCCUCUCCGUCGAUCUGAGGGGGCAUGCCCGACAAUCUCUACUACAGCGACAACGAGUACAUCGACCAAAUAGAGAAUCUCUCUCGCUUAUGUGUCUCAGUGGGGCAACUCAAGGAGCCGGAGUAGUCCACCGCCAAAGCCACCACUUGGUUGAGAUAAGGCUGAGAGAUUGUUGGCUGAAGCAGAGGGUAUGGAUCGCAGUGGGUUGUGUUUCCGGAAGCGUUUCUGGGAGGGUAUCCACGCGGCUCCAAUUUCAGGGUUGCGAUUGGGAACAGAACUGCCAAGGGGAAAGAAGAGUUCCUAAAGUAUCAUGCUGCAGCCAUUAAUGUGCCUGGCUUAUGUCCAGCAACUAGAAACAAGCUGUUUAAAACUGGUGCAACUGGAGCUGGAACUUGACAGGACUGGAAAACAGGUAGCCUAUGGAGGCAGUUCAUCCUUAAUUUGGUGGGGGGACUGGGCUAGAAUUUGCUUUUGGGAGGGUGUCUUUGUAGGUGAGACUCGCAUUUCAUCGCCCAUUUCCAAUUUGUAUAGGUCUGUGUCCAUCUACCCUUAGUGUCAUUCUCUUCUUCCCAUGUUGUUUUUUUUUUCUUGGAAUUUUACUUUAACAAGAAAUCUAAGUGAUUGGGGUGAUUUAGUUGUUUUUUUUUUCCUUGGAAUUUUACUUUAACAAGAAAUCUAAGUGAUUGGGGUGACUCAGUAAUGUUGCCAUGCAUCUCAUUUGGACUAACUAGGAGACUAUGUAUAUGAAAACGGGUUUUUUUUUUCUUGCAAGCCCUUUCUUUGCUUAAUAGCUUGAAUUCUUUGGUCCCUCUUAAGUUUAUGUGCAAGAAUUCAACUUUUUCCUUGACUGUUACCUUAUGGAAAGAUCAAUACUUUUUUGAUACUUUAAAAAGGAGUGCUCCACUGUUCAUUAUUUGUUCAUUGGUGUACACUGUACAUUCUCCAAAUCUAAAACAACGGCUGAAUCUUCUGACCAAGUUUUAUUGCACUGCUCUUUCAUAACUUGGAUUUGGAACAGAUUGGUCAGGGUCUAUUUCUGGUAAGUCUCCCUCAUAUUCUUCAUAAUAUUACAUUAUGUUCAGGCUACUUAGUAAUAUUGCUAUAUUCAAUUUUAUUUUACAGAAUUGAAUUUUAUUGUUUCAUAGUCUUCUCUCUUUUUAAUACUCAGUUUUCUUUAAUUAAUUAAACCUGAUAAAUACUUGGACUACAUGAAAGAUAAGUAGCUGAUGUAUGUACUCCUUUCCAGAUUGGUUAGAUCAUGAUUUUACUUCCUUCACUCUUUUUAGUUGACAAGUUUGAGAAUUUGAGAUGUUGUUCAAAAUUACUUGUUCUACUAAUAACUUUGAAUGAUUCAACUUUGUUAGAAUUGUCUAGAGAGUUACUGAGUUUCUUAACCGAUCCUAUUGGCUUUACUGCAGAUGAUAUAGUUAGUUACUACUAUUACUAUUAUCAAGGAAUGAGAGAUUCUGAUUGCUUGUCUGUUGAUUUGAUUGUACUUUUCAUUGGGCAAGUGAUUAAAUUUUGUAAUCGCGAUGUGUUUGUUUAUGUGAUCUGCAGUUUUAGAUGUCUGAUUCUUAUCAUGCAAUUAGUUCAGUGUUGAGUAUAUUUUGGUCCUGAGGUUUAAUUCUGAAAACUGGUGUUCUUUGCUUUGUGAUCUAAUUCAUUAUCUCAGUGACAUUUAAGUUUUCAUAAAUUUGUUUAUGUUUGAACAUGGUUAUUGUUUGUUAAAGUCUUGCUAGUUGAGUUUGUAUUUUUCCCUACUUGAGUUUUGUGUUCUACUAGUGUUUUGUCCUAGUUCGUAUUGGAUUCAGAUUUUCUGUGAUAGCAGCAAAGCUAGACUCCUUAAGUAAUGGUAAUUUUUAUAUAUUUUGAGAGCAGCAAAGCUAGAACCC